ACUCAAAGGAAUAGACGGGGGCCCGCACAAGCAGCGGAGCGUGUGGUUUAAUUCGAGGCUACACGAAGAACCUUACCUGGGUUGGAUAUGGACGCAGUAGGGAAGCGAAAGCCGACCGACCGCAAGGAACGUUCACAGGUGCUGCAUGGCUGUCGUCAGCUCGUGCCGUGAGGUGUUCGGUUAAGUCCGCAAACGAGCGCAACCCCUGGCGGUAGUUACAAGUGUCUACCGCGACUGCCCGUGACAAACGGGAGGAAGGUGGGGAUGAUGUCAAGUCAGCAUGGCCUGUAUAUCCAGGGCGACACACACGCUACAAUGGACGGUACAAUGGGUAGCCAAGCCGCGAGGUGGAGCCAAUCCCCAAAGCCGUUCUCAGUUCGGAUUGCAGGCUGCAACUCGCCUGCAUGAAGUUGGAGUUGCUAGUAACCGCGCAUCAGCUAUGGUGCGGUGAAUACGUUCCCGGGCCUUGCACACACCGCCCGU
rnacentral:rRNA from 1 species